CCCAUUCCAAGUUCUCCAAGAAUGUAAGUAUCGCUUCAAUUUGCAGUUUUUUCAAUCCUCUUCAAUACGAUAGGAAUUUAAGUCUGCUUUGGCUGCUGGAAAAUGUGGGGAAGAUUAAAACUUUAGAAAUUAGAAGCUCGUUUACUGCCUCCAACCGAGCUAAGCUUGAAGCUGUUGAUACAGAUGAUUUUCCAUUACAUGCUCAGUUUUUUGUCGGGUGGGAUUGGUGGUUGGGAUAAGUAAUUAUCAAAAGCCUGAUGCUUUAGCAAAUUUACAU
rnacentral:misc_RNA from 1 species